GACGAACGCUGGCGGCGUGCUUAACACAUGCAAGUCGAACGAUGAUGCCCAGCUUGCUGGGUGGAUUAGUGGCGAACGGGUGAGUAACACGUGAGUAACCUGCCCCUGACUCUGGGAUAAGCGUUGGAAACGACGUCUAAUACUGGAUAUGACUGCCGGCCGCAUGGUCUGGUGGUGGAAAGAUUUUUUGGUUGGGAAUGGACUCGCGGCCUAUCAGCUUGUUGGUGAGGUAAUGGCUCACCAAGGCGACGACGGGUAGCCGGCCUGAGAAGGUGACCGGCCACACUGGGACUGAGACGCGGCCCAGACUCCUACGGGAGGCAGCAGUGGGGAAUAUUGCACAAUGGGCGAAACCCUGAUGCAGCAACGCCGCGUGAGGGAUGACGGCCUUCGGGUUGUAAACCUCUUUUAGUAGGGAAGAAGCGAAAGUGACGGUACCUGCAGAAAAAGCACCGGCUAACUACGUGCCAGCCGCGCCGUAA
rnacentral:rRNA from 1 species